GAUGAACGCUGGCGGCGUGCCUAAUACAUGCAAGUCGAGCGAACGGACGAGAAGCUUGCUUCUCUGAUGUUAGCGGCGGACGGGUGAGUAACACGUGGAUAACCUACCUAUAAGACUGGGAUAACUUCGGGAAACCGUAGCUAAUACCGGAUCAUAUUUUGAACCGCAUGGUUCAAAAGUGAAAGACGGUCUUGCUGUCACUUAUAGAUGGAUCCGCGCUGCAUUAGCUAGUUGGUAAGGUAACGGCUUACCAAGGCAACGAUGCAUAGCCGACCUGAGAGGGUGAUCGGCCACACUGGAACUGAGACACGGUCCAGACUCCUACGGGAGGCAGCAGUAGGGAAUCUUCCGCAAUGGGCGAAAGCCUGACGGAGCAACGCCGCGUGAGUGAUGAAGGUCUUCGGAUCGUAAAACUCUGUUAUUAGGGAAGAACAUAUGUGUAAGUAACUGUGCACAUCUUGACGGUACCUAAUCAGAAAGCCACGGCUAACUACGUG
rnacentral:rRNA from 1 species